AAACCGCCUCCUUCUCGGGUUUAGAUCCCUGCGUUUCCGGAGGAGGUCGAGAUUAGCUAUCUGGCUUCUCUUAAGACUCGUGGUACGAUUUCAUGGGGAGAGGCUGGUUAUCCUCGGAGUUUCCAGAUCUGGCGAGAUCCGGUGAUUUAUUGAACGGGAUGCGGCCGUUUUCUAUCCCGGUGGAAGAAGGAUGUCGUAUUUACGAAUCAGGUUGAGGAAGGCUUGUAUACUUUGUUUCAUGUAAUACUGAGAAAUAUAGAUAGGUGAUCUACAUGUGGAUGAUCGAGAAGGAACGAGAGCUUGGAUUGUGGAUGAGGUAACGGAUGAUGUGCUAUAUGUUAUCCGAUAGAUGUUGUCA